UGGCAGGCGGCCCGCAGGCGGCUGUGGGCGGGAGCUCGGCCCUCCGGGUCCGCCCGCGCCCGGGAGCCCGCGGCCAGGGGACUCUGCCAAGGAGGGGGCGGCGGCGGCGGCGGGGCCGGGAACGCGUGGCCUGGCCGGGCUGAGGAAACGGCAACCCCUCCCGGCAACCCCUCCCGGCCCUCGUACAGCGCCUCCAGGGACUUAAACUUGCCUCAGCCACGUGAUUACCCUGAUCUGCCUGCUGAGAGAUGAGCAAAGGUGGAGAGGGACUAGAUCUCAGCAGAGACAGCAGUUCCUGAGCGCCCACCCCCCAGCGCUUCCAGAAAUGCAAUGCAACAUGGACCAGCCUGUGAGCAUUUGCUCCUCCUCAGGAACCAAACCUUAUCUUACCAAUGGCACCAACCCUGUAUUUAUGCUAUAAAUGAGUGAUCUUGCCCAAAGAAAAGCCAACUCCCUGCAACAGUACUAGGGGUGUGACUUUUGUUCCUCCACCCACCCAAUUCUCUGCCAGUGCCCUGUGCUUUUCCUGUCAAGCAUCAAAUCUUUGUUUGACUGGGUCACUAGAUUGGAUACUCCUUGUUAACAUAGAUGAUGUCUACCUUGUUGUCUAUUACAUCGCUGUUACCUAUACAAUAAACAGUUGUUGAAUGAAUGAAUGUGAACCUAUGAUAGCUAAUUCUCUAGGUGGAGUAUUUGAUACAUGCUUCAUUGUCACAGUGUUUUACAAAUUGGAAAAGAGUUUCAGCCAUUUGCAUAUCUUUCACCAAGAUCUUGAUAAGUGGUAGAGCUGUGUUAGGAACUGGUGUGUGACUUUGGAGUAGUGCUUAACUGGCAUGAGACUGCCUGUUUGCUGGCACCCAGUAGAAACCUCUGGCUCCCCCUCGCCAAAUGGGUGAGGUGGGUUAGAUGAGAUAUGUAGGCAGACAUGGGCAAACUGGCCUGGUCCCAUGAUAGAGC
ensembl:lncRNA